rnacentral:lncRNA from 1 species
ACAAAUUCUGGCCCUCACUGUCCAUCACAAGGAUAACUGGUAACCAGGGUUAUGAAAAAAAAAACUGACUCAUUAUGAAGAUGUGCUACAAGGACUAACGAAGAUGCCAGUUGCUAAAGCCCAGUCGUGGCUCUCAUGACAGCAGGGGUCUGGCGCUGCCCCCAGAGGAGCUGAUCCUAUGGAAUUGCCUACCCUAAAUAACACACACACACUUCUUUUCAGGAGCUGUUUGGAGGAUUGGUAAGAUUCGCCUAAACUAUUAUUUUGAUUUCCAAUUUGUGAUAGCAAAACUACUAGCUCAAAGGCAAUGAAAAUUAAAUUGUACUUUUCUUUAGAAUCAGGCAAAAAUUUCCCAUCACAGUUUCAUGUAGAUAAUCACAUAUAUUAUUUAGAUUUGCAUCAAAAUGGGAAAUAUGAAUACUAACAUUAGGUGUUACAGACCUUUUUAAGAACAUGACAAAAUAAAAAUAAAAGUGUGAAAGUAAUAUUUUUUUAGCUCGCUUUUUUUAUUUAUUUUAUUUUUCAAGAAAAUUAGUAACAUUUCAGCCUGCUACUCGUUUUUCCCAUUGGCUCUCCUGUUUGCUGGUUGCAGCCGUGACCGGGGCAGACCCAAUCCAACCCACGGAGAAGGGAUGAUCCCCAAGCUUGCUGAGCCAACACUGCCUGCCCUGGAGGUUAGGACCGUGCCAGUGGAGAUCAGCACAAUGUCAGAAGUUUUGGUUCGUUAUCCAAACAGCCGAAUCUUUUCCAGCUGGCCCAUCGCAGCUCAAUAAUCAUAUAGAGUUAUAUCAGUGGCACUCAUUCAUAUUUCACAGGCUAUAAUAAACACAGCAAAAAUUAGAUGAGGUUCCGUUUGAGGUUAAAUGUUUCCAUGAGAUAAUAACUUCUGUUUAUAACAAGAAAAAAAAAAGAAAAAAAAAAAAAAAGACCAAUGGUCUAUUUUUAAAACCUAAUUUAGUCACUGCAUCCAAAGUCUGCAACAGACCAUGAGCGAUACAGGGUCCUGCUCCCUCCUUCAGAGUUUUAAAUGUGAACGAGAGCACCGGGAAUCCCACUGGGCAGAGGCUGGAGGAGCGAAAUGCCGGGCUUUGCAUUGCCCAAUGACUCCCAGGGAAUGUCAGAACCAGAACGUUUCCCCAGUGACAGCUUCAUCCUUUAAACUUCGCAGAUGAGACAGCAUGCGGAGCAAUCUGUGCUGAAGCAGGAUUAGGAGUUACCAGGGUGACACUUUGUAAUUUGUAGGAUGCUGACAAUGAACCUCGGAAAAGCACAAGACCUUUGCUGGAGCUCAAGAGACCACAGAGACCCAAUUGGCAU